GAGAGUUUGAUCCUGGCUCAGGAUGAACGCUAGCUACAGGCUUAACACAUGCAAGUCGAGGGGCAGCAUGGUCUUAGCUUGCUAAGGCCGAUGGCGACCGGCGCACGGGUGAGUAACGCGUAUCCAACCUGCCUUACACUCUUGGACAGCCUUCUGAAAGGGAGAUUAAUACAAGAUGUUAUCAUGAGUAAGCAUUUUCGCAUGAUUAAAGGUUUACCGGUGUAAGAUGGGGAUGCGUUCCAUUAGAUAGUAGGCGGGGUAACGGCCCACCUAGUCUUCGAUGGAUAGGGGUUCUGAGAGGAAGGUCCCCCACAUUGGAACUGAGACACGGUCCAAACUCCUACGGGAGGCAGCAGUGAGGAAUAUUGGUCAAUGGACGAGAGUCUGAACCAGCCAAGUAGCGUGAAGGAUGAAGGUUCUAUGGAUUGUAAACUUCUUUUAUACGGGAAUAAACGAAUCCACGUGUGGAUUUUUGCAUGUACCGUAUGAAUAAGGAUCGGCUAACUCCGUGCCAGCAGCCGCGGUAAUACGGAGGAUCCGAGCGUUAUCCGGAUUUAUUGGGUUUAAAGGGAGCGUAGAUGGGUUGUUAAGUCAGUUGUGAAAGUUUGCGGCUCAACCGUAAAAUUGCAAUUGAUACUGGCAGUCUUGAGUACAGUUGAGGUAGGCGGAAUUCGUGGUGUAGCGGUGAAAUGCUUAGAUAUCACGAAGAACUCCGAUUGCGAAGGCAGCUUACUAACCUGUAACUGACAUUGAUGCUCGAAAGUGUGGGUAUCAAACAGGAUUAGAUACCCUGGUAGUCCACACGGUAAACGAUGAAUACUCGCUGUAGGCGAUAUACAGUCUGCGGCCAAGCGAAAGCAUUAAGUAUUCCACCUGGGGAGUACGCCGGCAACGGUGAAACUCAAAGGAAUUGACGGGGGCCCGCACAAGCGGAGGAACAUGUGGUUUAAUUCGAUGAUACGCGAGGAACCUUACCCGGGCUUAAAUUGCAACCGAAUAUGGCGGAAACGCUAUAGCUAGCAAUAGCGGUUGUGAAGGUGCUGCAUGGUUGUCGUCAGCUCGUGCCGUGAGGUGUCGGCUUAAGUGCCAUAACGAGCGCAACCCUUGCCGAUAGUUACUAACAGGUUAUGCUGAGGACUCUGUCGGGACUGCCAUCGUAAGAUGUGAGGAAGGUGGGGAUGACGUCAAAUCAGCACGGCCCUUACGUCCGGGGCUACACACGUGUUACAAUGGGGGGUACAGAGGGCUGCUACCACGCAAGUGGAUGCCAAUCCCAAAAACCUCUCUCAGUUCGGAUUGAAGUCUGCAACCCGACUUCAUGAAGCUGGAUUCGCUAGUAAUCGCGCAUCAGCCACGGCGCGGUGAAUACGUUCCCGGGCCUUGUACACACCGCCCGUCAAGCCAUGGGAGCCGGGGGUACCUGAAGUGCGUAACCGCAAGGAGCGCCCUAGGGUAAAACUGGUGACUGGGGCUAAGUCGUAACAAGGUAGCCG
rnacentral:rRNA from 1 species